CCUACGGGGGGCUACAGUGGGGAAUAUUGGACAAUGGGGGAACCCUGAUCCAGCCAUGCCGCGUGUGUGAAGAAGGCCCUCGGGUUGUAAAGCACUUUCAGUGAGGAAGAACGCCUGGUGGUUAAUACCCAUCAGGAAAGACAUCACUCACAGAAGAAGCACCGGCUAACUCCGUGCCAGCAGCCGCGGUAAUACGGAGGGUGCGAGCGUUAAUCGGAAUUACUGGGCGUAAAGCGCGCGUAGGUGGCUUGAUAAGCCGGUUGUGAAAGCCCCGGGCUCAACCUGGGAACGGCAUCCGGAACUGUCAAGCUAGAGUGCAGGAGAGGAAGGUAGAAUUCCCGGUGUAGCGGUGAAAUGCGUAGAGAUCGGGAGGAAUACCAGUGGCGAAGGCGGCCUUCUGGACUGACACUGACACUGAGGUGCGAAAGCGUGGGUAGCAAACAGGAUUAGAUACCCCGGUAGUC
rnacentral:rRNA from 1 species